rnacentral:rRNA from 1 species
UACGUAGGGGGCAAGCGUUGUCCGGAUUUAUUGAGCGUAAAGAGCGUGUAGGCGGCUUUACAGGUCCGUUGUGAAAACUCGAGGCUCAACCUCGAGACGCCGGUGGAAACCGUAAAGCUAGAGUCCGGAAGAGGAGAGUGGAAUUCCUGGUGUAGCGGUGAAAUGCGCAGAUAUCAGGAGGAACACCCGUGGCGAAAGCGGCUCUCUGGGACGGUACUGACGCUGAGACGCGAAAGCGUGGGGAGCGAACAGG